UACGUAGGGUGCGAGCGUUAAUCGGAAUACUGGGCGUAAAGCGUGCGCAGGCGGUUCGCCAAGUCAGAUGUGAAAUCCCCGGGCUUAACCCGUGGGAACUGCGUUUGAAACUACAAGGCUAGAGUGUGGCAGAGGGGGUGGAAUUCCACGUGUAGCAGUGAAAUGCGUAGAGAUGUGGAGGAACACCGAUGGCGAAGGCAGCCCCCUGGGUUAACACUGACGCUCAGGCACGAAAGCGUGGGGAGCAAACAGG
rnacentral:rRNA from 1 species